AUAUUUGUAUACAUUGUAAUGCAACAACUAGAAAUGGACAAUCACCUCUGUAACCGUGAUGAAAUGUGAACACAAAACAUCAGAAAACACUAGUAACUUAGCACAUUAUUCUGAGCACGUUAGUGAGGGUACGAGGUUCCACAGACACAAACACACAAUGUCCAAUCUUGCUUCAAUAUUAAGUAAAGUAAAGAUACAAUAAUCCUAAUAAAACUGGGUCAAAUGACUUCCUGAAUGUUUCUAGAUAUUGCACAGGAAAAGGUAAGGUCAGUGUUCCAUUUCUCAGCCAACCUGUUUCUAUUUCAUUUCAACUUGUUCCACUCUUACAAGUGUCUUGUGUAUUUUUGCCUGCAUAUCACUGCCCGCUCAACCCACAUCUUAGAACCAGUAAAUGUUUUGCCUGCCCAGUGAGACAGGGACUUCACUUUCAGCCCUACCCUGGGAUGUCAAGGAGCACCUGGCAUAGCAUACUACUAAUUUUACAUGCCAUGGAAUUUCUGAAGUCAUACAAGAAGGACCUGUGCAAGUGGUUAUCGACGAUGGAUGCUGAGUUUAUCAUUGACAAGUGUGAAGAUAUCCUAACAGCUAAACAGGACAAGGCUAUUCGCAAUCAAAAAACGGAUCCAGGGAAGAUCAGUCUUCUUUUGGAGACAUUCAUUGAAAUGGAAGAAAGUACAUGUCAGAACUUCCUUAAGAUUCUGAAGAAAGAGCAGACACAUUAUCCAGGCCUUCAACAACAUUUCAGCAAGAGCACACAAGCUUCAUCUAGCCCAACGGUGUAUGCAGAUUGCAACAGCACUGUUGAUACCAGGAAAGUCACCAAUGUCCGCGGUAUUAAAGACUUAGACAUGCAUGUAAUCGUUCAAGCAGGAUCGGGGAAUCGAUCUGGAAUGAACGUCAGCCAACCACCCCCACAUGCAGAAGUGGUUGCAACAGAACACAGCCAUGUAUUUGCAUCAGAGAUAUCGAACUGUACAAUCGAUGGCAACCUCAAUAUGUCUGUGAUGCAGGUCCCAGCCCCCCAGGCCUCACAGUGUCCAGUGCCACCACAGCAAACAGAAGAUGUGUCCUCUUCUCAGGGCCCUGCCAUGAAAAUGAUAAUUGAGAAUAAGGUGAAACUCAUCGACUGGCUCCGAGCAGAUUCUGUCUUCAUUCUUCAACAUGUGCACUCCAAACGUAUUGUUACCGAUAGAGAGUAUCAAGAGCUGAAGAGUUUCUCAGUACCAGAGGCUGCUGUGACCAACCUGAUUGACAAGAUGAUUCUCAAAAAGGAAGAGACAUGCUCUCAGUUUCUUGAUACUCUCAAAGAAAGUGAGGUGAAGGAUACCUAUCCCGAACUUAAGAAGUGGAUUACCACCAUAUUCUGACUAGGACCAUCACGGCCCAAGAACAUGACAUAUUCUCCAUCGAUCUCUUCAAUUUCAGACAAACGUGGGUUUUUGAAAAGAAACCGCACAGCUCUGGUUAGCCAGGUGAAAAACGUGAAGGCCAUUGUCGAUGAUCUGCAGAGUGGAGGUUGUCAUGAUGAAAUGGCUGCCAACGUGAAUGCCCAGUUGACACCACAAGAAAUGAUGAGGAAGCUCCUGGAUAGCGCGACCAGCACCGGGGCCGCUAACGCCCUGAUUCAAGCCCUUUUAACUCAUCAGAAGGAUGUCAUGGAUGACCUGAUUGCUGAAAAUGCUUGAAGAGGUCAAUUGGUUCUUCAUUAUAAUUGAUCUAUAGCAGGGCUAUUUUUACUUUUUUUAUAUCACUUUUUUAUUCAUCUUAGCCACCAGCCUGGUCUCAGACUAGCAAACUUACAUCUGGGAUACUCAGAAUAGUAUAAUAUGCUACACUACAUUUGGUACUGUAUGUUUACAUUAAAUGAAUGUAGAGUGGUUGGUUAGGGUGGAUGAGUAUGAAGCAACCUGUCAACUACUUACUACUUUGAACCUACUUAGCAUGUUAGCUAACCCUUCCCCUAACUCUUAACCCCUAACACUAACCCCAGGCCUAGCUAACAUUAGCCACAACAAAUUGGAAUUCAUAACACAUCAUACGUUCUGCAAAUUGGUAACAUAUUACAAAUUUAAAUUCAUAACUUAAAUAUCAUACAAAUUGUAAUUUGUAACAUAUCAUAGGAAAUGGAUGAUGGACAUCCACAAAUUAAUACAUACCAUACGAAAAGUAACAUAGUAUACUAAUUGGCUGUCCCAGAUAUAUAUUUACUCUGUUACGUUUACCUCUGAGUCCAGACUGUUGCCACGUGUAAUUAUUGGUGGUGGUGCUAUUUUUUAUUGACAAAACCGGGACAAUAUCAUCUUUUAAGGGAAACAUUUUUAUAAAAAAUGCAAGAAUAUAUUUUGAUUAUGUUGACUAUGGUUCUUUACAUUCCAAAUAUAAAAUGUAACGGUGCAGUUUGAAGAUUUACCACCACAUUACCUCUAAAUGAAAUGUUGAACUACUUACGUUGUCAACCUCCAAGAAGGAGAGGUCCAAUAAAUUAGACUGAAAUAAACAUCUGUAGGCCUAUAAACAUCUAUCGAUGUUGGACUUGCAAUGACAGUCUGUGUUUGACUUUGUCAUACUGACACACCCCAUCAUAAUAGACAAUACAUUUGCAGGUAGUUAUCUAAACAUUGACCAUUGAUGUUUAAGCCAUAUUUGUAUACAUUGUAAUGCAACAACUAGAAAUGGACAAUCACCUCUGUAACCGUGAUGAAAUGUGAACACAAAACAUCAGAAAACACUAGUAACUUAGCACAUUAUUCAAAUCAAAUGCAAUUUUAUUUGUCACAUACGCUACCGUUCAAAGGUUUGGGGUCACUUUAGAAAUGUCAUUU